UCUGGCAAAGAGAUUUGCAGAGUGUCGGGUGACCGGCAAAGAGAUCUGCAAAGUGUCAGUUGAAGACGACGGGAGGGGUCGCAGAGGUAGCAACGACUGGAGUAUAACAUGCAGGAGAUCAUCAUUUGGUAAAGUUCUGGCAAAGAGAUUUGCAGAGUGUCGGGUGAACGGCAAAGAGAUCUGCAAAGUGUCAGUUGAAGACGACGGGAGGGGUCGCAGAGGAAUUAGUGACUGGAGAAUAGCAUGCAGGAGAUCAUCUGGCAAAGAGAUUUGCAGAGUGUCGGGUGACCGGCAAAGAGAUCUGCAAAGUGUCAGUUGAAGACGACGGGAGGGGUCGCAGAGGUGGCAACGACUGGAGUAUAACAUGCAGGAGAUAAUCAUUUGGCAAAGUUCUGGCAAAGAGAUUUGCAGAGUGUCGGGUGACCGGCAAAGAGAUCUGCAAAGUGUCAGUUGAAGACGACGGGAGGGGUCGCAGAGGAAUUAGUGCCUGGAGAAUAGCAUGCAGGAGUGGGUGAUCCCUGAAUAGCUGCCCUGGGAGGAGAGCUGCGGCCACAUUCUCCAAAUGCUGGGACAUAUGCAUUACCUAUUAGGAGAUGCGGUAAAGAUGCUGGCUGUCGGGAUUACGGCAGUCAGAAUACUGACACUGGGAUCCCGACACUCUUCAGAAUCCCGACGUUGGAACUCCGAAUGGGCAAGGAUACCAACGCCCAUAUACCCAUGAUCAUAGGUUUUAGGGCUGGGCAAGGGGGGUUAGGAUUAGGCAUCAGGUGGA